CAGGGAGAAAAAAAUUGCCAUCAUGACGGUAGCCCUCAACUUGAAAUUUGCCUGCAGCAAGGAAUGGAAGCCAGAGGACAUUAGAUUUUGUUGAUGUCAAGCACAAUAUCAGGUUAUGGUCCAAGUCCAAGCAUAUACCUGCACAAUGCAACCACCCAGGCCAAUGCCUUCAAAGAAUUGAUGGAAGCUAAGGGCACCAACAAGAGGCCUUAUGGUCGAUGACCUCACAGAUGCACCUAAGGACACCCCAAUUAUCACUGAAUGCACCAAAAUUCCGAGCUCAAGGACCUGCAUGGCUGGAGAGGAACAUGAUGCUCUGAAGCACAAGGUAACACCCACUUUGUAGGUGUUUAUAUCCUUGUCCAAAUCUCUAUUUCUUCAUUAGUGUGUUACGGGAACUGUAAACAUAUUAUUACACCUUUUGUUCUCUGGGACUGUGAACAGCAAUCAUAUGUAUCUUACAAUGUAAAUAUAUGAUUGAUCAUAAUGAGACAUUUGAAGGUAAUUCAGCAAACUGCUGCGAUAUCUUAAUUGAUUAUGCACUACUUUUGGCAAUGAUAUGUUUUUUAUGAUUUUAUUUGUUGCACUGACUUUAACUAUUUUCAAGGGAGACUUAUGGACAUCAAGGGACUACACUUGCCUGAGA